GCCUGGGUGGCGGAAUGGUAGACGCAGAGGACUUAAAAUCCUCUGACUGUAGGGUCGUAGGGGUUCGAGUCCCCUCCUAGGCACCA
rnacentral:tRNA from 1 species